rnacentral:rRNA from 1 species
CCUACGGGCGGCAGCAGUGGGGAAUAUUGGACAAUGGGGGCAACCCUGAUCCAGCCAUGCCGCGUGUGUGAAGAAGGCCCUCGGGUUGUAAAGCACUUUCAGUGAGGAAGAACGCCUGGUGGUUAAUACCCAUCAGGAAAGACAUCACUCACAGAAGAAGCACCGGCUAACUCCGUGCCAGCAGCCGCGGUAAUACGGAGGGUGCGAGCGUUAAUCGGAAUUACUGGGCGUAAAGCGCGCGUAGGUGGCUUGAUAAGCCGGUUGUGAAAGCCCCGGGCUCAACCUGGGAACGGCAUCCGGAACUGUCAAGCUAGAGUGCAGGAGAGGAAGGUAGAAUUCCCGGUGUAGCGGUGAAAUGCGUAGAGAUAGGGAGGAAUACCAGUGGCGAAGGCGGCCUUCUGGACUGACACUGACACUGAGGUGCGAAAGCGUGGGUAGCAAACAGGAUUAGAUACCCCAGUAGUC